CAGUAGCCGCGGUAAUACGUAGGUGGCAAGCGUUGUCCGGAAUUAUUGGGCGUAAAGGGCUCGCAGGCGGUUUCUUAAGUCUGAUGUGAAAGCCCCCGGCUCAACCGGGGAGGGUCAUUGGAAACUGGGAAACUUGAGUGCAGAAGAGGAGAGUGGAAUUCCACGUGUAGCGGUGAAAUGCGUAGAGAUGUGGAGGAACACCAGUGGCGAAGGCGACUCUCUGGUCUGUAACUGACGCUGAGGAGCGAAAGCGUGGGGAGCGAACAGGAUUAGAGACCCGUGUAGUCCCUGUCUCUUAUCA
rnacentral:rRNA from 1 species